UGCACCACUAUCACUGCUCCCUCCUCAGUCUGCGCUCCUUCUCCGUUGUCCAUGGUCUUCUCUCAGAUUUUUCUUGCCUCUUCUUUUUGCUGUCUACCUCCACUCCUCCUCCUCCUCUUUUCUCCUUCUGUGUAAUUCUGCCCUACAGAGAGAGAAAGGAUCUCUUACACACUGCAGCAGGUUCGCCAAAAGCUCAGGCCCUUUACAGCUCCCCAUGCUGGUUGGACCUUCCCCUGUUGGUACUUGAGUGAGUGGGCGCUUGACAGAGUUAGCACCUCGAAGGUGCUCGCUGCUGCAGGAGGUGUGACAUAGUCCCAGCCCACGACACAUUGAUUUGUACUGGAUUAAGCUAUUGCAUGAUGCUGCAAGCAGAAGGCUUGGCACAGGCAAUUUACCAUUCCUGCCAGACCUAACAUCCUCAGACGCCUCCUCUGUGCUUGGCUAAAAUCUUCUAGGAAAGGACAUCCCACUGUCAUCUGCAAGUCUACUAACAAUAUCACCCAAAGGGAUGACUGGAGUUGACCCUACACAGGAUUAAGAAAGGCAGCAAUGGGCUGGACUAUGACUCUGAAAGAUGACUUUGGGGUCAGCGGCUGGACAAGGCACACUGGGAACUUCCUCAGUCUCUUCCUCCUCUUCUCAUCGUUAUUUUCUUUUCCAGCCCACUCUGACAUUUUGCUUCCC